rnacentral:rRNA from 1 species
AUGGAGGUCGAAAUCCGUGUAGAGCACCGCAUCCGCGCGCCUAACACAGGGGAAUGGCAAUGGCAAUGGCAUCAUCUCCGAAGCGCCGCCGCCAAGGCGCUGCACGACCCCGUCCUCGUCGUCAACUUCCUGCUCCUGGCCGUCGGCACGGCCUGCGGCCCGCUUCUCCUCCGCCUCUACUUUCUGCACGGCGGUACCCGCAAGUGGCUCUCGAGCCUGCUCCAGACGGCCGGCUGGCCGCUCCUCCUCCUGCCGCUCAGCGCCUCCUUCUACUCCCGCCGGCGCCGCCCACGCCCAGAGGUAGUCGUAGCCGACGGCGUCUUCCUCAUGACGCCCCGCCUCCUGGCCGCGUCCGUCGUCGUCGGCCUCAUGACCGGCGCCGACAACUUGCUCUACGCCUACGGCCAGGCCUACCUCCCAGUCUCCACCUCCUCCAUCCUCAUCUCUACGCAGCUGGCCUUCACGGCCGCCUUCGCGCUGCUGCUCGUUCGCCACCGCUUCACUGCCUCCACUGUGAACGCGGUCGUGCUGCUCACCCUCGGCGCCGCCAUGAUUGGGAUGGACUCCGGAGGGGACCGGCCGGCGGGCGUCUCGGGAGGCCAGUACGCAGCCGGGUUCGGCACCACGCUUGGCGCCGCCGCGCUGUACGGCCUCAUACUGCCCGUCAUGGAGCUCAGCCAGGCGUGGCACUCCGGCGCCGCGGCCCUCACCUAUACCCACGUCGUUGAGAUGCAGGUCGUCAUCGGGCUCACCGCCACAGCCUUCUCCGCCGUCGGCAUGCUACUGAACAACGAUUUCCAGGCAAUCCUAGGAGAAGCCCGACAGUUCGAACUUGGCCAGGUGGGCUACUACCUAUUGUUGCUCGGUACAGCCGCCGUGUUCCAGUGCUUUUGCCUCGGCGCGAUCGGCGCCAUCUUCUACAGCUCGGCGCUGCUUGCCGGAGUCAUCAUCACCGUGCUCAUCCCUGUGACUGAGGUCCUCGCUGUUAUCUUCUUCCAUGAACCCUUUAGCAGCACCAAGGGCGUCGCCCUAGGGAUAUCGCUCUGGGGCCUUGCAUCAUAUUUCUACGGUGAGGUGCCGAAUAGGCCCUAG